AGCUUUUUAAACUAAAGA
rnacentral:snRNA from 1 species